rnacentral:rRNA from 1 species
GAUGAACGCUGGCGGCGUGCCUAAUACAUGCAAGUCGAGCGAACAGACGAGGAGCUUGCUCCUCUGACGUUAGCGGCGGACGGGUGAGUAACACGUGGAUAACCUACCUAUAAGACUGGGAUAACUUCGGGAAACCGGAGCUAAUACCGGAUAAUAUAUUGAACCGCAUGGUUCAAUAGUGAAAGACGGUUUUGCUGUCACUUAUAGAUGGAUCCGCGCCGCAUUAGCUAGUUGGUAGGGUAACGGCUUACCAAGGCAACGAUGCGUAGCCGACCUGAGAGGGUGGUCGGCCGCCCUAGAGCUGGAACACGGUCAUGGCUCCUGAGGGAGGCAGCAGUAGGCAAUCUGACGCAGUAGGCGGGAGCCUGGCGCAGCGAGGCGGCGUGUGUGGUGAAGAUCCCCGGAGCGUGAUACUCUCUUAUGAGGGAUAAACCGAUGUGUAAGUUGAUGAACAGGUCUUGACGGUACCUAAUCAAGAAGCACCGGCUAACUACGUG